AAAAAGUUUAGCAUAUAUUUGAAACCGAUAUCAAUAAUUCAUUAAAUCAUGGUGAGUUGGAGCGGCAUGUAUCGCACGCAUUAAAUAUUUUCGCAGACAUAAAAAAUAGCACUAACGGAUGAUGCGUCUCGAAGCCGAGUAAUGAAUUUCCUCGUCAUUCGAAAUCGUGUUACAGGUUACGGCAGAGAGCGCGUGAAAAAUCGAGUUGCGUAAAGUUGCAUCUCGCCGUUCGCGCUUUGCGUUUCGCAAGCCACGGGGAAAACGUCGGCGUGCGAUUGAAAGUGUCAUGCUCCAAUAUUUUCGCGUGUGCGCGUUAAAGAACGCAGGAAGAGAAAUGCGGUAAUGACGAAUUCGCUGCUGCAUAAUCGGCGUUUCACUAGCUCGAUCCCGCACGUCUCCGCUCUUUUGCGAUUUUCCAUCUCCGUUAUUCCCGCGUCGGAUGCGUUGUUAACA